CCCGUGCAGUACCCCUCAAACCGGUUCUCUCUUCUCUCCCACAGGAAGCUACGUCGACUAUUUCUCCUCGUCCCUGUACCAGGCCCUGGCGGACAUGCUGGAAACUCCGGAACCCUAACCCGGCCGCGCGGCUGCGGCGCAGACGUCCCUCCCUGCCCCUCCAGCCCCUCCCCACGAGCCAUAUUUAUUUCUCUGAAUAAACGUGACCCCCCAAAACCUCAUUGUCAGGCGUAGGGUCUGGCUUCCCGGGGCACCGAGGGACUCGGGACUCGUGGGUCAGAGGACGCGGAGCCCGUGCUUUCGGGGCCUCGGGGUGGGUGGUCGGUUGCAGGUCCUGAUAAAUAAAUCAGUCGACACGGGCGCGUUUUGAAACA